UAGGGAAUCUUCCGCAAUGGGCGAAAGCCUGACGGAGCAACGCCGCGUGAGUGAUGAAGGUCUUCGGAUCGUAAAACUCUGUUAUUAGGGAAGAACAUAUGUGUAAGUAACUGUGCACAUCUUGACGGUACCUAAUCAGAAAGCCACGGCUAACUACGUGCCAGCAGCCGCGGUAAUACGUAGGUGGCAAGCGUUAUCCGGAAUUAUUGGGCGUAAAGCGCGCGUAGGCGGUUUUUUAAGUCUGGUGUGAAAGCCCACGGCUCAACCGUGGAGGGUCAUUGGAAACUGGAAAACUUGAGUGCAGAAGAGGAAAGUGGAAUUCCAUGUGUAGCGGUGAAAUGCGCAGAGAUAUGGAGGAACACCAGUGGCGAAGGCGACUUUCUGGUCUGUAACUGACGCUGAUGUGCGAAAGCGUGGGGAUCAAACAGGAUUAGAUACCCUGGUAGUCCACGCCGUAAACGAUGAGUGCUAAGUGUUAGGGGGUUUCCGCCCCUUAGUGCUGCAGCUAACGCAUUAAGCACUCCGCCUGGGGAGUACGACCGCAAGGUUG
rnacentral:rRNA from 1 species